AAAAAAACAAAAUUAAAUUAAAUUAAAUUAAAUUAAAAGUGGGAUAAAUUAGGGGGAUAGUAACUACUUGGAAGGAUAAUCUAAAUAAGGUGAACACACUGGCUGUGGCUCUCCCCAGGGACAGACUUAGGGUAUCAGAUCCCUGAAGCUGACAGUAGAGUAGAGCAGCUUGCAUAAGUGACCCAUCAGUGAGCAGAAAAGUUAAGGACAUCACAGACUAGCAGAAUACUGAGUAGUUGGACAAGUAUUACUCUGAAGCAUUCCUGUUCAUUCUCUCCAUAAAAAUGACACUGCUCAAAUGCCUUUAGUGUGAGGACAGAAUUUAAUAUGCUUAAUUGUUAUAAAAAGGGUGAUCAGAUGGUAUUCCUGCCAUUUUGUUAUUUUUCUUUCCCAUGGAUGUUUAUUUUCCAAUAAACAUGCACUUGAAUGCUUAAAAGACAUAACACAUUUUAAAGACAGGUUUAGCAAUUGAGAAAACAGUCCAUUAAUGACUUACAGAUGACUCAAGAGCUUUGAAACCUCAUCAGAGCUUCAUUGGAUUUAUGAGUACAUUAAAUACUUAAAAAUGAAGAAAUAUUGCAAACUUUAAAUUAAAGCAUAAAUAAUAUAAAACAGAUGUUUGUCCUAGUGUGGCCCUCAUAACAUGGACCUCUGUGUCCGUCAGCUUUGCAUUACUGUUACAAAAUACCUAAGGGAAGCAAUGCAAAGAGGGAAGUUUACUUUGGCACAGGUUUAAGGAAUUCAGUCAAUGAUCCUUGGCACUGUUGCUUUUGUGCUUGUGGCAAAGCAACACAUCAUGCUUGGAAUGGCUAGGGUAUCAAAAAGAGAGUAGAAAUGAUCAGACCUCCCUCAUCCACCAUUAGGGCAUGACUUUAGUGACCUUUAACCUUCCAUUAACUACUAUCUCUACUUUUUCACCACUUCCUUACAUCGCUAUUGGUUGGAGACUGAUCCUUGAACUUGUGAGUCUUCAAGAUAUUCUUAUCUAGUCCAUCAGAACCCCAAAUAAUAAACUCAUUAUUGAGUAUGAAACUAAUGGUGGCUGAGUCCUUAAAUAAUACAGCAUCAUGAUUUCCCUGAAUUCGACCAGAAUGGUUAACUAGCUGAGUUAGUAGUUAUGUGUGGUACUCAUCUCUUCAUCUGGGGAAAUAUUUGGGCAUAAACUAUAAAAAAGAAAAGAAGAUGUGGAAUGGCAGUAAAGUUUCAAUAUAUGAUAUAGAAAAUUAAAUAACCCCCAAAUAGCAAAGUUUUUGAUGUCAGAAAUUCAGGGAAUCUCAAUUGCCAAAGAAGAGUCCUUUUUAUAAAAUUUAACAGUUUUAUGUGAAACCCAACUCUUAAGCAACAUUUUAUAAUGCCAAAUCCAAAUUUUUCUACAAUUUUAGAAUUUGACCCUGUUGUUCAUGAUAAGUAAAUUACAUAAUAUUCUGUUUAUAAAUAAAUCUCUACAAGGGCUGUCUAUUAUAAUAACAUAAUUUUGUUUUAAAGGAUUUUUCCAGUUUGUGUGGGGGACUCAAUCAAAAGAUCCAUAGUUCGUGAAUAUAUGUUAUUAAAAACUGUCUAUGUGAUUCUUUUCACAUAGAAAUCUGAAAAGCAAUGAUUUAUGUUCUGAAUCAUCAAGAAACAUUUGUAAUGGUAUUGUUUAUUUAGUAGUAUUGCUAUUUAUUUGAUGUCAUACACCAUAUACAAUAUAGGAAAUAGAAGGCAGCUAUGCUCACCACUGUACCAUCACUGCAGGCAUAUAAUACAGGAAAUGGAGCUGGGUCAAUGUAUCAGUCUAGAAUCAGAGUGUAUGAGAGCUAUACAUCUCAUUUUGGUAAGAUAACGGGAGAAAGCAAAGCUGGAAAAUCAUCAGUUUAUUGAGAUAAGAAAAGAAGAGAGAGAUUCUGGUGUAGAUGGAAGAAUACUAGAGGCAGUGGCUUGUGCAGCCACUGCUGGGUGCAGAUAGGAUUACACAAAAAUGCUAAGAGAAAAGCCUUACCUUUGAAGCUAGCUUCUUCAAGCAGGAUUCCUGAUCCUAAAUUUGUGCCAUGGACCAGUGGUGGGAGGCCCUCACUUCCUGAGGUCAAAGUGUGUAUGACCCCAUGCCCCAAGGUUCCCAGAGGAAGAGGGAAACCUACUGCCACAGCCUGCCCUGUGGGGCCCCUGAGCCCCUGAGCCGCAGCAGAGCAGCUUGCAUAUGCUAGCGCCAUCCUGGCGCUCUUGGGGUUUCUCUUGGCACUCCCGAGAUGAUAAAGACAGAUCCAGUUAAAGAAAAACCUCUAAAGGUUUACACUACAUUUAAAAAUAUAUGUAGGCUUGUGAGAGAAAAAGUAACAGGAGGAAAUAGAGUAGCCGGUUGUGGUGGUGCACGCCUGUAGGAUUUGCUGAAGGAAGCAGAGGCAGGCGGAUUUCCACAGAGAAACCCUAUCUCGGGGAAAAAAGAAACAAAAGAAAGUAAAAAUAAAGUAAUAAAAAAGCCACAUAAAGACGGAAAAUACACAGAGAAUCUGGAUACUAUAUGUCAUAUUGUUGUCUUUAAAUUGUUUGAUUUCCGAGGAAAGAAUUACUGCUGCUAAAAUACAUUUGAUUAUAAAUGCUGCUAAAUCAAUCCAACUUAACAUUUUAAAAAUACUUUGACUUCAAAAUUUAAGUCUAAGGACAGGCUACUUGGAAAAAGAAUUUCUAUUUGUGUUUCUACAGAAAAUAAAAAGUUAUGGAUUCCUUCCAGACGAAUAUGGUUUGAUCAAGCAAGACCCCCUGAAGCUGAGCUGAUAAAGCCUUACAGCUACAAAAACAAGGACUUGGCCAGAUUUCUAUGUUUUAUCAUGAUUCCAAUGGGUUUAUCUUGGCAGUGAGACACAACUGCUCCUGGCACACCAAUUAUGUCAGAAAGGAGGAUGGCCAUCGAAGAAACUCGUUAUGGAGUUUGCUUUCAACAUGGCAAGAUUAGCCAUUUGGGCAAGAAACUGCUCUUGUCUGGACUGUUUGUUGCUGUAUAAACUGGACAUACAGGACCCACAAGAAAGGGACUGCUGAACUUACAAAACAAGACAGUACUGAAGGGUUCCUGUUGAAAUGGAGAAGUGUGCCAGACACUGUGGCCUAAAGACUGAAGAUGGAUGCCCCAACGUUACAGAGGAACUUGGGUGACUGUCCAGGUAGCGAGAUGUGUCUGUCAAUUCUAGAACAUAUCUAUAUGUUCUGUGGUUUUUGAUAGAGUUGAAGGCAGAUAGUUAUGGUUAUAGUUUUCUUCAGUUAUUAUAAAGAUAAGUUAUCUUUCUUUUUAUUGAGACAGAAAAGAGGAGAUGAUGGGGAAUGUACUGUGUAUGUUCAUCUUAUUGAUUAUUGAAUAAAGUACGUGUUUGGCCAAUGAGACAGCAAGUUAGAUGGGACUAGGAGUCAAAGAGGAUUCUGGGAAAUGUAGUAGAGAAAUGAUGUUCCAGGCAGUAAGUGACAUAGCAAGGAGACUCAUAUUUUAAAAAGGAGAAACAGGAAGUGUGCUUUUUCCCCUUUGCCUCCUCCAGCGGCGGGAUGUGAGCCACCGGCAAGAGAGGGUGCCAGCAAAAGGCAUCCUCUAUAAGAUAAGUCUUAUAAAAUAUAUAGAUUUAUGAUAAUUAAGACUGAACUAGCAGAUGAGAUUCCUAGUCAUUGGCCAAGCAGCAUUGUACCAAAUACAAGUCUCUCUGUGUACUAAUUUGGGC
rnacentral:lncRNA from 1 species